rnacentral:lncRNA from 1 species
UUAGAUUGUAAAAUUGUAAAAUUCUAUGUCAGUUUCAGAAUACACCAACUGGGCAACCCAAGCAAAAGCAGUUAAGAAUGAACUGAGUUAGACAGGGUUGCCACCAGCACAGGCUAUUAAAUUUAAAACUAGGUAUGGCUCAAGACCUUUACUGCUCCCAACUAAGUUUCAUCCAGAAAGAUAUCUCAUCCCUGCAGUAAGAAGUUUUUUUUUUCUUUUUUCGCGGGGGUAAGGGAGUUUUUGUUGCAAGUUCAUAGAGUUACAGUGGAGAGGCCACAAACCCUCAAUACAUUGCAGUAAGAAAGUUUAGCUAUACAGAAGUACUGUAGUACAGAGCAGAGUUUGGAUUUCUUACGGUGCACAAGCACUUGAAUUCUGUGCAUUUAAUCCGAGUAACGAAAUUAGUAUGGCAUCGUGAGGCACACCAGUAUUCAUCUAUAUAUAUAUAGCUACAUCACAUAAUAGAUCGGGUAGUGGUUGCACUGGACGGCCUUUGGGCGCUUGGUUUCUCAAGCCAGCUACCUAAGGUUCGGUAUGAAAAUGCAGGUCCAGUGAAGUAGAGGUCACAGUAGCUUGCUGGGAGUGGGGAAAAUGGUCCAAAGUUUCAGUGAACGCCCUUCAUCACUGCGAAUUGGCACUUUACCAGUGUUGUCCACCUCGUCGUGAACCGAACGUGACAAGUCACCGCCCGGCUUUGUCCCGAAGCCUCUUUUCCCAACACGACGUUGACCGCUACUACUACUACUAGCC